GUAGGUGGCAAGCGUUAUCCGGAAUUAUUGGGCGUAAAGCGCGCGCAGGCGGUUUCUUAAGUCUGAUGUGAAAGCCCACGGCUCAACCGUGGAGGGUCAUUGGAAACUGGGGAACUUGAGUGCAGAAGAGAAAAGCGGAAUUCCACGUGUAGCGGUGAAAUGCGUAGAGAUGUCCCCCCCCGGAGGAACACCAGUGGCGGAGGCGGCUUUUUGGUCUGUAACUGACGCUGAGGCGCGAAAGCGUGGGGAGCAAACAGGGAUUAGAUACCCUGGUAGUCCACGCCGUAAACGAUGAGUGCUAAGUGUUAGAGGGUUUCCGCCCCUUUAGUGCUGCAGCUAACGCAUUAAGCACUCCGCCUGGGAGUACGGUCGCAAGACUG
rnacentral:rRNA from 1 species